rnacentral:rRNA from 1 species
UAGGGAAUCUUCGGCAAUGGGGGGAACCCUGACCGAGCAACGCCGCGUGAGUGAAGAAGGUUUUCGGAUCGUAAAGCUCUGUUGUUAAGGAAGAACGAGUGUGAGAAUGGAAAGUUCAUGCUGUGACGGUACUUAACCAGUAAGGGACGGCUAACUACGUGCCAGCAGCCGCGGUAAUACGUAGGUCCCGAGCGUUGUCCGGAUUUAUUGGGCGUAAAGCGAGCGCAGGCGGUUAGAAAAGUCUGAAGUGAAAGGCAGUGGCUCAACCAUUGUAGGCUUUGGAAACUGUUUAACUUGAGUGCAGAAGGGGAGAGUGGAAUUCCAUGUGUAGCGGUGAAAUGCGUAGAUAUAUGGAGGAACACCGGUGGCGAAAGCGGCUCUCUGGUCUGUAACUGACGCUGAGGCUCGAAAGCGUGGGGAGCGAACAGG